rnacentral:lncRNA from 13 species
AGUAAAAAUUCCUUAAUGAACCAGUGAGAGAACUGCUCGGCUCUGCCCAGUCAUGCAGUCAGUGGCAGGCUAUACAGGAGCUAAAUUUCACAGGGUGUAGCUUUCCCUUUUGUAACCAGGCUUCUCUAGGCGGCUGAUAUGAGAGCAGAGGAGAAAGAAGACCAAGACAGAAUCUUGUCAUCAAAUCCCACAUUCUAUAUUCCACGAAAGGAUUUCUGCUCUUCAUGUGAAACAGGCAAUUAUGCAGAAGGAAGGCCAGCCUCCUAUCCAACAAAAGAAGUCCUUCUGGAGCAUCCCUGUUGGAGGGCCAGAUAAUCUGCUAGAACAAUUCAGAGUCAGGGCUUUGGAGAGAACAUGCUGCAGAAUACCGGGUCUGGAAAGAGAGACGUUCAGGAAGACUUCCAAGGUAGCAGACCAGAGGCAGCUUUGCCCUUUCAGAAGGUGAAAGCUAUUUGCAGAAUUGGCAUCUGAAGGGAAGGAUAAAAGCAAGCACAUCAUUUCCUCGUGUUGAGGCCAGAAGAAAGAAUUGUAAUUAGAAGUGAUGUAAUCAUUUUGCUCGAAAAUCAUUUCUUCAGUUGUAAGCGUAGAGCGCGGAGAUUCUCCUCUGUACUGGUGAUGCUGUGUGUCUGACCAGCAGAAUAGGCUUCUUUCAGCAAGAAGCUCAGAGGAGGGUCAAGGUCUCAAGUUGUCACAGGGAGGGGAGCCUUUGUGCCUAUGUGGCAGCAGCCACCAGCUCUCUGUCAUUUGGUUUCUCUAGCCCUCAGCACAUCACCACAUACAAUGACUAUGAUAAAAGACUUCCUGGCUGGGCAUGAUAGCUCAUGGCUAUGAUCCCAACACUUUGGAAGGCCAAGGCAGGAGGAUGGCUGAAGGCCAGGAAUCAAGACCAGCCUGGGCAACAGAGUGAGAUGGUGCUGUCUCUACAAGAGAAAACAAAGCCCUGAUUUUGCGGGUGGUUGACGGCUGAUCUGAUCUUCUCCUUCCAGUGUCAUCAUCUUUUCUGGAAAUGAUCUGAAAUGCAGAGCAGACAUGAGAAGCAACUACAAAACCUGAGGGUGAAGUGAAGGUGAGGGGAGAUUGUUUUGUUUUCGUCUGAAAUAUCCGGAUUUUUGGGUUCCCUCAUGGCUUGACUGAC